rnacentral:rRNA from 1 species
UACGGAGGGUGCAAGCGUUGUCCGGAAUCACUGGGCGUAAAGGGCGCGUAGGCGGCUAUGUAAGUCACUUGUGAAAUCCCGGGGCUCAACUCCGGGGCCGCAGGUGAGACUGUGUGGCUAGAGCAUGGUAGAGGCGAGUGGAAUUCCCGGUGUAGCGGUGGAAUGCGUAGAUAUCGGGAAGAACACCCGUGGCGAAGGCGGUUCUCUGGGACGGUACUGACGCUGAGACGCGAAAGCGUGGGGAGCGAACAGG